UAAAUUGAAAUUUCUCUCCUACUCAGGGAGAUCUUUUAUUAAUAUUUUAUGCUCUUACACAAUGCAAACUAGUUCAAUUCAAACUUGCUUUCUGCCGGGGCAAAACAAAAGGAUGUUUCAUCCAGAAAAAACAGGUCACGGGGUUUGACAGAAUGGGUAACCAAGACUGCCUGAAAUCAACAGCUACGACAGCUAUUAACACAACAACAGCAGAGUUACAGGCCAUAACAAUGCAUCCGAAGAAAGAAUAGGUUGUAACAGAGCUUAAAUCCCAAUUGCUCUGCUCAAGCAAUUGUUUUUGACAGAUCGAGCGCCAAUGCCACACUUCCCAAUCUUUCUGAUGAUUUCAUUAGGCCUCCCCCCGCCUGCUGCAAUGACCGCCUCAGGACGAGUUCAGAUCAAGAACCACGGCCCAAGUUUUCAGACUGACCCCAGGGAACAGCAAUCAGUGCCCUUUGAGCACCGGGGAUCCUCUCCUGCGAGCGUUCCACCAGCAACUUCCAAAGUCAACCGCAGAGAACAGGAGGGAGAAGACGCAGUGUCUUUGCCUUGAUGAAAUGGGCCAUGGCGGUUGAUAAAGUUCGACAUUCAAGCUGUCAGGUGGGAGGCUGACCACAGUGGAAGGGAGGGUGGCUUUGUCAGCUGAUUUCCCUUUUAACAGCAUACCUCUGGUGUGUUUAGACACGCUGCAAAGGAAAAUGUCUAUAAUAUGCCCUCUGUUGAACUGUUUUCAUAUGGGGGUGUAAUAAAAAUUCAUGCCAUGAA